CCUACGUGAGGCAGCAGUGAGGAAUAUUGGUCAAUGGUCGGGAGACUGAACCAGCCAAGCCGCGUAAGGGAUGAAGGUACAGAGUAUCGUAAACCUCUUUUGUCAGGGAACAAAGGCGGGGACGUGUCCCCGGAUGAGUGUACCUGAAGAAAAAGCAUCGGCUAACUCCGUGCCAGCAGCCGCGGUCAUACGGAGGAUGCGAGCGUUAUCCGGAUUUAUUGGGUUUAAAGGGUGCGCAGGCGGUCUGUAAAGUCAGCGGUCAAAGCCCGGGGCUCAACCCCGGCCCGCCGUUGAAACUGGCAGUCUUGAGUGGGAGAGAAGUAUGCGGAAUGCGCGGUGUAGCGGUGAAAUGCAUAGAUAUCGCGCAGAACUCCGAUUGCGAAGGCAGCAUGCCGGCUCCACACUGACGCUGAGGCACGAAAGCGUGGGUAUCGAACAGGAUUAGAUACCCCGGUAGUC
rnacentral:rRNA from 1 species